rnacentral:tRNA from 5 species
GGGGCCUUGGCGCAAUUGGUAGCGCACCUGCUUUGCAAGCAGGGGGUUGCGGGUUCGAGUCCCGCAGGCUCCACCA